CGUGCUGGAAUCUUUUCAGUUUGUCGCAGAGUAGAAAAAUAAAAAAGGGGGAAAAAAAGGCUCAGUAAUUUAAAUUUGCUCUCAGUUCAGGCUGCAUCGUUGGGUCCCGCCCCUUCUUCCCGCUGGGUUCCACUACCUGCAAGGCUGGAAUUGACAGCUACUGUGCAAACAAAAAAAGGAAACAAGCAUGCUGGGACCAUUCUGACUGCUGUUUGGGUCUCACUUGUCCUGACAACUAAAAAUCAUCAGUGGAAAGAGGCCAUAAAGAUGAAUAGAGUAAGAAUAUAACAGAGGCCCUUUGACUGGCACAGAAGAGGAUUAUACUUCCCUGCCCUUUCUGAAGUGAGGCAAAGCUAUUUGAUAUGCUUUGGCCAGUGAAAGGACUUUCAGGAUCAGCAACUCUUGGCCAGAAACAAAAGCAGAAUCCUCCCAUUUCCCCCAUGGAUUUGAAUGAAAACUGCUGAUAAAACCAAGUACAACUGCAAAGGAGAUGUUGGAGAAGAACCAAGGAUUCACUAAAAUUGGAACUCAGUAUUACUGAAAACUUGAAGGCUGGAAAAAAAAGACAAAGUGUUUUUCCAAAAGUGCCAAAAUGUGUGUCUCAGUGCUAUAUGGACAGAAGUGGGCACCAUCUUACAGGCUGGCAGGAGUUACUUUGGUAGACCUUAAUGGUCUUAAAGGUCUACCAAAGACGAAUAGCCACUUAUUUUCCUUAGAUUAACUCUGGAUAUUGGCAAAGUAAUCUAAAGGGAAGUACUUCAAACUGAGAUAUUAAUUGCUUUGUUUAUUCAUGUAAAAGUAUGUUCCAUGGUAGCGAAGGGACAGUGGUUAUCACAAUAGAAGAAAAAUUAAUGUGAGUAGCAUUUCUAGUUUUCCACCUUUGUGCGAAUGGACUCACUCCAUUCCUUCCUGCAGAAGCAUACCCAGACACCACGACUGUUUGACUGUCUAAGGGAUUUAAGGAACACAUUGUAAACCAGAAGAGGGGCCUAUUGAUACUAUCACAGUACUUUUGAAUUCGUCACUUCCACAUUUACUCAAUCUCUGUGAAGACUGAAAUGAACAUAAGAGUCCACGAAAUACAAUACUCAUAUUAUCGAAUGCUCUGUGUCUCAUCCAACUCUUCCUAGCCCAGAAGAACUGCUCUCUCUUUUGGGUGACUCUAAACCCUCAUUUGGCACUUUGCAUGUGAAUGUUUUUAUUUGCAUGCAUUCCCUUAGCAACAGAUUGUAAUUCAGUUCAAUCUAAUCCCAUUCAGUUUAAAAUAUUUAUUCUGUACCUAUUACAUGUCAGGGACUAUGCGAAGUGCCAGCAAUAAAUACCUGAGACAUGGUCCCUGGCUUCUCGUAAACACUUUAAUAUAUAGAUGAGGAGGCUGGCACAUGAUCCAGGUGUAGUGGGAAAAGUGCAACCAUAGAAGUAUGGCCAAAGUAACAGGUAGCAAGGCAGGAUGUGACACGGCUGAAGGCAUAGGUGUCGGGAAAUGGUCAUUACAGGUGUGACAUUUGUGAUAGGCUCUGGGGUAAGUUGAUAUCCCUUAGGCAAGUGUAAGGGAAAGAGAAUCCUAUUUUAGGCAGAAAGAAAGCAUGUGCAAAGGACUAGAACAUGUCAUAUCUGACCCAUUUGGGGAAAUGAAAGUAGUGCAGCAGCAAAAGAGCAUAAAAUUUAAAAUAGUGGAGAUCAGCAGGAGAUGAUACUUAGACUCAGAUGAUUAAAGGUUUUGCAUACUAUGCUAAAAAGCUUGGAUUUUAUCCUAAGGCCAAAGGACGUUAUACGAUGAUUUGUACAGAUUAGCAACAAAAAUUACUAUUAUUUUUUGGGUAAAGCGUGGAGAACGUUUUGGAGGAAGUGUAUGUUGUAGAAUGUAUGCUAAAACCUAAUCUGCAAUGGGGCACCUGGCUGACUCAGUCGGUAGAGCAUGUGACUCUUGAUCGCAGGGUCAUGAGUUCGAGCCCCACAUUGGGGUUUAGAGAUUACUUAAAACAAAAACCCAAUUCCUAUUGUGAUAUUUUUAGGAUGUAGGACUUUUGGAAUUGAUUAGGUCAUGAGGUGGGAGGCCUCAUGAAUAGGAUCAAUAACUUCAUAAAAGAGACCCCAGAGAGUUCUCUCUCGCCUUCUGUCAUGUGAGGACACAAGAAGAUGUCAGGAAGUGGGUACUUAUCGGACACAGAAUCUGCUGGUACCUUGAUCUUGGACUUCCCAGCCUCCAGAAUUGUGAGAAAUACAUGUUUGUUAUUUAAGAUACUCAGUCUAUGGUAUUGUUUUUAUAGCAAGCUGAAUGGGUUAAGACCAUGUAUAUGGCCAGUAGAUACAAUUAGAAUUGACUAAGGAGGAAGCAGCUGGGCAUAAAGAAGAACUAUAUAGUUGACAUAAUCAAAGAACUUGGUAAAUGAGAGGGAUGGCAAUGGAGAGGUCUGGAAUCAUCCCCAAGUUCCUGCAGAGGGUAUCAUGGAGAAUGCUGGUGCCAGUACAAAGAAAGGAAAGAGACAGGAGACAGAGAAGCCUUAUGGAGAGGAAAACAGAAAGCUUGUGUUGGAUCUUUUUUUUUUUUUCAACGUUUUUA